rnacentral:rRNA from 1 species
GGGAGUGAAAUAGAACCUGAAACCCUGCACUUACAAGCUGUGGAAGCACAUUUCUUGUGUGACCGCGUACUUUUUGUAGAACGGGCCAACGAGUUACGUUAAGUAGCAAGGUUAAGCACUUAAGGUGCGGAGCCGUAGCGAAAGCGAGUUUUAACUGAGCGUUCAGUUACUUGACGUAGACCCGAAACCGGGCGACCUACCCAUGAGCAGGAUGAAGCGAAAGUAAAAUUUCGUGGAGGUCCGAACCCACGAGCG